CAGUCGACGGGAAUCUUCGGAUUCUAGUGGCGGACGGGUGAGUAACGCGUAAGAAUCUAACUUCAGGACGGGGACAACAGUUGGAAACGACUGCUAAUACCCGAUGUGCCGCAAGGUGAAACCUAAUUGGCCUGGAGAAGAGCUUGCGUCUGAUUAGCUAGUUGGUGGGGUAAGAGCCUACCAAGGCGACGAUCAGUAGCUGGUCUGAGAGGAUGAGCAGCCACACUGGGACUGAGACACGGCCCAGACUCCUACGGGAGGCAGCAGUGGGGAAUUUUCCGCAAUGGGCGAAAGCCUGACGGAGCAACGCCGCGUGAGGGAGGAAGGUCUUUGGAUUGUAAACCUCUUUUCUCAAGGAAGAAGUUCUGACGGUACUUGAGGAAUCAGCCUCGGCUAACUCCGUGCCAGCAGCCGCGGUAAUACGGGGGAGGCAAGCGUUAUCCGGAAUUAUUGGGCGUAAAGCGUCCGCAGGUGGUCAGCCAAGUCUGCCGUCAAAUCAGGUUGCUUAACGACCUAAAGGCGGUGGAAACUGGCAGACUAGAGAGCAGUAGGGGUAGCAGGAAUUCCCAGUGUAGCGGUGAAAUGCGUAGAGAUUGGGAAGAACAUCGGUGGCGAAAGCGUGCUACUGGGCUGUAUCUGACACUCAGGGACGAAAGCUAGGGGAGCGAAAGGGAUUAGAUACCCCUGUAGUCCUAGCCGUAAACGAUGGAUACUAGGCGUGGCUUGUAUCGACCCGAGCCGUGCCGAAGCUAACGCGUUAAGUAUCCCGCCUGGGGAGUACGCACGCAAGUGUGAAACUCAAAGGAAUUGACGG
rnacentral:rRNA from 1 species